rnacentral:lncRNA from 1 species
UAGAGACCUGUCCAAAUAUGAUUUGCCAUAUGCUGCUGCGCUUGGUUUAGAAUCGGUUUACAAAUAUUAAUUUCUUACUAAUUGAUACACACGUGACUACAGAAGCUGUAUCAAUUGUAUGGAUAGACUAGGAUCCGGCGAACAUGCAUACAUUCAGUUCUGCUCUACCCUCCAGUUUUGGUUGCCAAUGUGAUUGCUUGAUAUUUAACCUAUGACUGAUCUUGCUAGGUCCAUGCUAAUAACAAUCCUCUUGCAUUUAAAUUUGAGUUUUACCCGGGCUCAAGUGAUAUGCACGUUAUUAAAGGGCGAGAGUGGACAACCUGAUCUGCUUCAGUGGUGACGAAGGUACACAUGUAUACAUUGAGUAGCAAACUCCAUUACUUCUGAAUUAUAUUGAUGAUAUCGUAUCUGACAUUCUGGUUGGUUUGGUGUUCCUCUUUAGAAUAAAGGUCUCAAGCUUCUAUUUUAUCCAAUGGCAUUUUCUAUGUUCUUCUUAUAUUGAUGUUCAGGCCAGAUCCCACCAGACUUUGCUUUACUUUGUAGUUAUCAUGAGAGUAAGUAACAAACAGUUUUACUUCUGUUUAUCCCUUUGUCACUAGCAUGCACAUGAGGUGGUCCUUUUAGCUUCUCUGUGGAUUGUGUAUAGGUAGCUGUAUUUUGGGUACUAAACUGCUGUAUAGUUUUGUUAAUGCCAUAGUUUUGGUUAGUGCCAGAUUUAAUCGAGUGGGUAAAGGAAAAUGUUACAAAACCUCUGUUAGAGUUGAAUUCUGCUUGAUGCAUACAGGAACCGAUAUUGUGAACAUUGGGUCCAUUUGGGUUGUGGAUUGAUUUAUUAUGAUGGCGAAACACGCCUAUGGCGAGAUUAUAUUCGAUGAUGUUGUGCACUCUUCACAUGCUUAAUCCUAGCUAAUUGCUUCUCUAUCAUCUUUGAACUGCAGGAGAUGAUCGAGUUGGGCUCGGACGUUGCUGGCCGCCGGCUUGGUCUGCAAGAGGACUUUCCCCUGCCGCGGCAGGCCAUGGAGAGAGUAAGAUUUCAUGGUCUUUUUGAUCUCCUAUUUCCUUUUCUAUGUGGAGUAAGUAUAAUGAUGAUGGAUCCGAACCUGUGUAUUAGAUUGUGACCUUUUUGCUCCUUUGCAAGCUUUGCACGUUUUUAGUAUAGUUUUUCCAUGCUAUAUUGCUUAAGCAUCAUUCUGUCUUGACAUGAUAUGCUAAUUGGAUCUUCACCUUGGAGGUUUAUUGCGUAUGUACGUGGUUCAUAUAGCGUUUAGUCUCAACCCUCAAGAGGUGCUAAUUAUGUUUUAUUCCUAACUCUGUGCUUUAAUGUUCAGUUCUGAUGGGUUUCUUUCUUAUAAUGUUAGUAGAAAAGAAAAGAAAUCAAAUUGUUUAGGCUUCUUAUAAAUAGAUUUAUCCACCAGAUUAAGUCGUAAACAAACAUUCAGAUUCAGGCCCUCUCCCUCUCCCUCUGCUUCUCAGUAAAAACAAGGGCCUUUCUUCAGAGUUACACUUGGUUGACUGAUUUGGUUCCUUGGGUUCAGACCAGUUUCAUCUUCUUUGGUUGAUUGAUGGAUUGAUCCGCUGAUCUGCAUUGCUUGCAGGGUGACCAAGUGAUUGACUCUAGGGCCGCCGUGGUGGUGCUCGUGGUGCCCGACGCCUGCUGC